GCUCGAACCCCGGGAAAAUAAAUCCCCGAAGUGUCAUUUACGCGGUGGCCUCUUUAGAUGAACGAGAAAAAGUUGAUAACGAAAUUAUGCAUAUAACUGUGGGAUUGUGGUUUCCGGAGGGUUUCGAUUAAGCUAGGGUCAUGGUAAAUGAACAUAGUUUGGUAAAAAAUAACGUUCCAACAAUAAAUCGUACUUGUCAUUGCUUUCGGAUUAUGAUUUAUUGUACGUUUCCCUUAGAGUCCAAGUUGUUUUCGUUAAACAAGUCAUCACUAAACAUAAACGUCAAAAUAAAUAAAUAACAAAUUGUGUCGUGUUGGAUGUUCAUUACUGUAAUGGUAUUUGUUAUGUAAAUACAACGAAUAGGCAUACAUAUUAUUUCCAUGUCAAUAGUCUUAAUAAUUUUACAUUUUUUUCACGGUUUCAUAAAAAAAGAAAAUAUUCACGAAUUAUUUGUUUUUGAAAAUUGUAUUUCUAAUUACAAUAAUUUUUUACAUUUUAUAUCUGUUAACUUUUUUUUUUUAUAGGACUCUGGACUUCAACCAUGCAAUUAAAUAUAAACAAUGUAAGCUUAUCUCCCAUAUAAAUGUAUUAUGUCAAUAUACAGGGUGAUUCUUUUAUCAAACAACACUCAUUAUUUGAAAAAGUAUUGACUUUUUUCAAAAUUUUUUUUUUUUCAAAAUUGUAGAUUUAUGCUGUUCUAGAAUUGAAUAUUUUUUUUAUAUUUUUCACCCUUAUAUUUAUUAGGUAAACCACUAUCAACUUUUGAUUUUCAAAUGGUAACCUAUACUUAAAAUUUCAUAGUUGAAUAAAACUAUUUUUUUCAUUAAUUAUUACGUUCAAAUUUUCAUUUUUCGUUAAUCCGUUGAUGAGAUAUUGCUCCUCAAAGUUAGGUGGUUUUGGGAGGUAGUUGGGUGUGUGUACAGUAAAUGUGUUAUACCUCGUCAGUAGAUACCGCAGUUAUUAGGAUUUGUAUGCCCCGGGGCUAAAGAUAUUACAUUUUAAAAUCAAUUCAAGUAGGUGCAGUAAGGUUGAGUUGUGCCCCUAAAUGUAUUGUAUAAUAUCCAUUUGGCUGGGUGUCCGCCGUUCGCCCCACUAAAGGUGAUUUCGUCACUGGUCAUAAUAAUUCUUAUCGAUUAUAAAAACCAGAAGUUAAAAGUUUUAAAUCCUAUAUCAUUCGAACCCAAGGUAAUGAUAAUUGAUAACUUAUUGUCAUAAUGUCAUAUUUUAAGUAAUUGGACCAUUAGUGUCACUUGCGCAUACUCGCGUGUAAUUCCGUCGACCCCAUUAAAUACCUAUUAAGUAUGGAGUACCGACAAUUUGUGACAACGGACACAACGAUACGUGAUUGUUGUCUGAUUAGUGAUUAGACUGAUAUGCGCAUAUAUCUUACAAUAUCUAUGGUGGAUUUGCGAUUAGGUAAUAACAGAUACUAGAUAGUACCUACUAUCAUCUACCAUGUUUAUCGUGCUCUGCGCUGAUAUCGUGGUUCCGUGGUUACAUGAUAUGGAAGUAUACCUUAUACUGGGUUAGCGUUAAUCACAUAACAAUCCGUUAGUUGUAGACAAUUAAUGGUUAAGAUAAUAACUCGGAACUAAUUUAAUCGUGACUCGUGGUCGUAGGUAUUUUAUUUUUGAAAUACCUAUUAGUUCUUGUAUAAUAUAAUAUAAUUAUUCACCACAUUUACGUAUUUUAUUUAAUAAUUUAAUACUUUAUCAAUCAUAUAAGUACCUAAAUUUACUUAUUACACUUGAAUUAGAUGCUUGGUGAUUACAUUUGUACAAUUUAUUGUUUAAUCAUUUAUACAUAAUACACUAUUUUUGUUCAAAUGUAUACCUAACCAAGGAACACUGGUACUUACUGGAUAAUAUAUGAGUUGUUAUACAAUGAAGUGGCAUAAUAUGACAACACAGAAAUAUUGCGAUAAUAUUUCCAUAUUAUUUAAAAUUAGUCAUUACAAUACUCAGCUGGACACUGGGUUUUUCAUGAAAGUCUAUACCUACUCUACAAAUGUUAUAUCAAAAUCUCCACUUUUUAGUUCCUAAACUAAAAGUGAAUAGAAAAUUAUUUAUCUACAUAAUAUGUGAUGAUUCAAAAUCAGUUUCACAUAGGUCAUUUUACCUAAUUUAAAUAUGCCAUAAUGGAAUCAGCUACCUAUGACACACAAUUCAGAAGAUCCUGUAUGUUAAAAUUAUAUUCAUACUGCUAUGUUUAAUUACAUUUUAAAAUGGUAACUGUGAAAAAUAAAAAUAAUUUUUCACAUAUUGGAUUUAAGUAUUUCAACAGACUACAGAACAAAAUAAAAUAUUCAAGACAAUUGCAAAGAAGUGGGAAAAAUGUAGCUGGACUAAGUGCAUACAUAUUACAAAUGAUGUGUAUUGAAACUAAAAAUGUUGUGAAUGUUAAUGUUUUGUACUUUGUAUGAUAUUUUAAUUAAUUUAAAUGAGGUGACAACAUCAAUCAUUACAAAUCAAAAGAUAAAAUAAUGUAUGUUGUGUUUAAUACACACAAUAUAAUAUGUAGAUUGUGUAAAUCAAAUAAAGAAUU